rnacentral:rRNA from 1 species
AUUGCACGCUGGCGGCCGGCCUAACACAUGCAAGUCGAACGAGUGGCGGACGGGUGAGUAAUGGCGGGGAAACUGCCUGAUGGAGGGGGAUAAAUACUGGAAACGGUAGCUAAUACCGCAUACCAUCGGAUGUGCCCAGAUGGGAUUAGCUAGUAGGUGGGGUAAUGGCUCACCUAGGCGACGAUCACUAGCUGGUCUGAGAGGAUGACCAGCCACACUGGAACGGAGACAGGGUCCAGACUCCGACGGGAGGCAGCAGUGGGGAAUAUUGCCCAAUGGGCGCAAGCCUGAUGCAGCCAUGCCGCGUGUAGUAAGAAGGCCUUCGGGUUGUAAAGUACUUUCAGCGGGGAGGCGUUACCCGCAGAAGAAGCACCGGCUAACUCCGUGCCAGCAGCCGCGGUAAUUC